rnacentral:rRNA from 1 species
CGCUGUUAGUUGCCAGCGCGUAGAGGUCGGGCACUCUAAUGGGACUGCCGGCGACAAGUCGGAGGAAGGUGGGACGACGUCAAAUCAUCAUGCCCCUUAUGACCUGGGCUACACACGUGCUACAAUGGUUGGUACAACGAGUUGCGAGUCGGUGACGGCGAGCUAAUCUCUUAAAGCCAAUCUCAGUUCGGAUUGUAGGCUGCAACUCGCCUACAUGAAGUCGGAAUCGCUAGUAAUCGCGGAUCAGCACGCCGCGGUGAAUACGUUCCCGGGCCUU